GGCUUCUUAAGUCGGAUGUGAAAUCCCUGAGCUUAACUUAGGAAUUGCAUUCGAUACUGGGAAGCUAGAGUAUGGGAGAGGAUGGUAGAAUUCCAGGUGUAGCGGUGAAAUGCGUAGAGAUCUGGAGGAAUACCGAUGGCGAAGGCAGCCAUCUGGCCUAAUACUGACGCUGAGGUACGAAAGCAUGGGGAGCAAACAGGAUUAGAUAC
rnacentral:rRNA from 16 species